rnacentral:rRNA from 1 species
GGACCCUACUGCUAUCGGGGUGGGACUAAGACCGGCGAGUUGAACGACUUCUAGCCAUGAUGAAGUCGUAGCAUACGGCUCAGUAACACGUGGCUAACCUACCCUUGAGACGGAGACAACCCCGGGAAACUGGGGCUAAUCCCAGAUAGAUGAGAACUCCUGGAACGGGUUCUCGUCCAAAAAGCGUCUAGGUCAUGCUUCUAGAUGUUGCUCAAGGAUGGGGCCGCGGCCGAUCAGGCUGUUGGUGGGGCAACGGCUCACCAAACCUUUAACCGGUACGGGCCGUGGGAGCGGGAGCCCGGAGAUGGGAACUGAGACAAGGUCCCAGGCCCUACGGGGCGCAGCCGUUGCGAAAACUUGUCAAUGCACGAAAGUGUGAACGGGCUACCCCGAGUGCUGUCCGCUGAGGAUGGCUUUUCUCUGCUGUUAGAAGGCGGGGGAAUAAGGAGAGGGCAAGUCUGGUGUCAGCCGCCGCGGUAAUACCAGCUCUCCGAGUGGUGGGGAUGUU